rnacentral:rRNA from 1 species
AUUGAACGCUGGCGGCAGGCCUAACACAUGCAAGUCGAGCGGCAGCGGGAAAGUAGCUUGCUACUUUUGCCGGCGAGCGGCGGACGGGUGAGUAAUGCCUGGGAAAUUGCCCAGUCGAGGGGGAUAACAGUUGGAAACGACUGCUAAUACCGCAUACGCCCUACGGGGGAAGCCGGGGACCUUCGGGCCUUUCGCGGUUGGAUUUGCCCAGGUGGGAUUAGCUAGUUGGUGAGGUAAUGGCUCACCAAGGCGACGAUCCCUAGCUGGUCUGAGAGGAUGUUCAGGCACACGGGAACGGAGACACGGUCCAGGAUCCUACGGGAGGCAGCAGUGGGGAAUAUUGCACAAUGGGGGAAACCCUGAUGCAGCCAUGCCGCGUGUGUGAGGAAGGCCUUCGGGUUGUAAAGCACUUUCAGCGAGGAGGAAAGGUUGAUGCCUAAUACGUAUCAACUGUGACGUUACUCGCAGAAGAAGCACCGGCUAACUCCGUGCCAGCCGCCGCGGUAAUAC